CGUACCGUGAGUAAUAAUAC
rnacentral:miRNA from 1 species